UGUAGUCCAUGGCAACCAGAAUGGGGCCCGCAGCGAGAACGAAGGAAAAGGUUUCAGACGGGAAAGACACAGAUAGCCUUUCGUUUGUGUGAAUCAAGAAGGAAUAUUAUGCCUCGUCAGCCAUUGUGCCAGACUGAGCUACGCCUAUAAAUACUGGCACCCUGCAUGUCCCGUCUGCCGGGCACAUAAACAGUGCCAGACAGAAAAGGGUUAAUCCCAGCACCAACAUGUACCACCUGUCCACAGGAUACCCCACUGAUCACUAGGGCAGGGGUCUCAAGGAAGACAACCACAGCCAUCUCUAUCAGUGGGGGAGGGGAGCACCAUUCUAGUGAUCAGUGGGGUCCCAGUGGUCAGACCCCAAAGCUGAUACAAGUUUACUUUGGGAUAAUUUAACCCCUUUAAAUUAUGACACCCGGAGUACCUUCUAUAAGUAAUACCAUGUGGCAGCCAGAGUUCCCCCAUACAGUAUGUCAGAUAGCAUACCUCCAGUGUUAACCUCCUAUAAUAGUGGCAGCCAUGGAUCGCCCACAUAUGUAGUACCCAAGACCUGGGGGUAUAACAAAUCGGUAAUUGUUAGGCUACUUUCACACCUGCGCUUUCCCUUUCUGCUAUUGAGAUCCGUCAUAGGAUAAUGGGGGAAACGCUACAGUUUUGUCCCCAUUCAUGUCUGUGUGUUUGGUACGACUAAUCUGAGGCUGUGAUCUGGACUGGUAAAUGUCUGGGUCGUGGCAUCAAUAAAACCAUCAAAUUAGCUCCCUACGGGAUUGGAUGGCGAGUGAUCAUCUCCUAAUUAUCUGGAAUGAAGGACCCCUAUAUGUGACAACCAGAGAACAGACUAAAUGACCUCAUAUACAGCUCUAUACACGUGUGACAUAGUACCGAAUUACCUGACCUCCGCUGCCAGGAUUUACCAUACAAUACCCUGAAUAGUACUGCGCAUGCGGACGUACCAAUGACGUCAGAGGCUCCUUGAAAUAUCGCGAGAUUUGUGCUCUUUAUAUACCAGACAUGCGCAUCUGGCUUAGCGCAACGCCACCCUUCUUCUGGUCAACAUAACUUCAGGAGGCCGUGAACAAGGUCCGGGAGAACCGAAACGUUGGCCUAAUUAAAUUGACAACCACUUGUGGCUUUUCAAUAAAUUUUCAGUUUCAUUUGCAUCAACCCGAGUGCCAUGAAUUAAUUUAUAAUAUACUCAGUGAAAGACUGACACCAUCAAGCUG